rnacentral:rRNA from 1 species
UACGUAGGGGGCAAGCGUUGUCCGGAUUUAUUGGGCGUAAAGAGCGUGUAGGCGGCCAUACAGGUCAGCUGUGAAAACUCGAGGCUCAACCUCGAGACGUCGGUUGAAACCGUAUGGCUAGAGUCCGGAAGAGGAGAGUGGAAUUCCCGGUGUAGCGGCGAAAUGCGCAGAUAUCGGGAAGAACACCUAUGGCGAAGGCAGCUCUCUGGGACGGUACUGACGCUGAGACGCGAAAGCGUGGGGAGCGAACAGG